UACGGGGGGGGCAAGCGUUGUUCGGAAUUACUGGGCGUAAAGGGCUCGUAGGUGGCCAACUAGGUCAUACGUGAAAUCCCUCGGCUUAACCGGGGAACUGCGUCUGAUACUGGAUGGCUUGAGGUUGGGAGAGGGAUGCGGAAUUCCAGGUGUAGCGGUGAAAUGCGUAGAUAUCUGGAGGAACACCGGUGGCGAAGGCGGCAUCCUGGACCAAUUCUGACACUGAGGAGCGAAAGCCAGGGGAGCAAACGGG
rnacentral:rRNA from 1 species